rnacentral:rRNA from 1 species
UUGAAAGGGAAACGAUUGAAGUCGGUCGUACCUUCGGGUAAUCAGCCUUUCGGGUGCGAUUAUGUGGAGUGUGAGGAGCUUAAACACCUUCAUGUUUUGCAUAUUCGUACUCUUGGGUGUACUUGCCCGUAUGGUUGGUUAACAUCAAUUUUGGUGGUCAUAAAAUGACUGGAGGAAUGUAGCUUCGAUCUCGUAUUGAAGUGUUAUAGCCUUCGGUAGAUGUGAUGAUCGAGAUUGAGGAUUGCAACGGAUACCCUUCGGGGCUACCUGUCUGGUCUCUGAUCGUUGCUCUGGUGCCGAAAGCUUGCUUACGGUUAUCAAAGUCGAUGGUUAAUAGGUUAGAAUGGGUUAAAUUCGUUAAGGAUGUUGACGUA